GAUUUGUCCCCUGUUCUGUGCUCUGUCCUGCCGCUGGAUGCUGUUUAGGGUGUUCAGGCAAGCUCCGAAGUUGCGACAUGGUAAGCCCACCUCCCCCUACUCUAUUGCUUUGGAUCUUCCUUCCAAGUCCUCUAAGUCCUCAGAUCUCAUAUGAGAGACUGAAGAAAAUGUCCUCACAUGUGUCUGGCUAUGAUUUCACUCUGUCAGGUGUUUUCCCAUUCUUAGCUAAUAUCAGCAGGCAGGAAAGAAGUCAUACUGGAGAGAAAAAUCUCUGAAUACACUUCAUGUUGUAAAGCCUUUGACUAUCACAGUCACCCUCAGAGGAAUGAAAGAAUACAUACUGGAGAGAAGCCUUAUAAACGUAAUCAAUGUGGUGAAGCCUUUGCAUGUUACAGUCAUCACCAAUUACAUAAAAGGACACAUACUGGGCUGGAGAGAUGGCUCAGCGGCUAAGAGCACCGACUGCUCUUCCAGAGGUCCUGAGUUCAAGUCCCAGCAACCACAUCUUGGCUCACAGCCAUCUGUAGUGGGGUCUGGGAUCCACAAUAUUGUCUGGGUUUGAUAACUGUUUGAUAACUCUUCUGGUGUGUCUGAAGAGAUCAAUGUUGGUGUACUUAUAUGCAUAAAAUAAAUAAAUAAAUCUUUAACAACAACAAAAAAACCCA
rnacentral:lncRNA from 1 species